UACGUAGGGGGCAAGCGUUGUCCGGAUUUAUUGGGCGUAAAGAGCGUGUAGGCGGCCACACAGGUCUGCUGUGAAAACUCGAGGCUCAACCUCGAGCUGUCGGUGGAAACCGUGUGGCUAGAGUCCGGAAGAGGAGAGUGGAAUUCCCGGUGUAGCGGUGAGAUGCGCAGAUAUCGGGAAGAACACCCGUGGCGAAGGCGGCUCUCUGGGACGGUACUGACGCUGAGACGCGAAAGCGUGGGGAGCGAACAGG
rnacentral:rRNA from 1 species